rnacentral:rRNA from 1 species
UAAUACAUGCAAGUCGAACGCGCAGCGAAAGGUGCUUGCACCUUUCAAGCGAGUGGCGAACGGGUGAGUAACACGUGGAUAACCUGCCUCAAGGCUGGGGAUAACAUUUGGAAACAGAUGCUAAUACCGAAUAAAACUUAGUAUCGCAUGAUACAAAGUUGAAAGGCGCUACGGCGUCACCUAGAGAUGGGUCCGCGGUGCAUUAGUUAGUUGGUGGGGUAAAGGCCUACCAAGACAAUGAUGCAUAGCCGAGUUGAGAGACUGAUCGGCCACAUUGGGACUGAGACACGGCCCAAACUCCUACGGGAGGCUGCAGUAGGGAAUCUUCCACAAUGGGCGAAAGCCUGAUGGAGCAACGCCGCGUGUGUGAUGAAGGCUUUAGGGUCGUAAAGCACUGUUGUAUGGGAAGAAAUGCUAGAAUAGGGAAUGAUUCUAGUUCGACGGUACCAUACCAGAAAGGGACGGCUAAAUACGUGCCAGCAGCCGCGGUAAUACGUAUGUCCCGAGCGUUAUCCGGAUUUAUUGGGCGUAAAGCGAGCGCAGACGGUUGAUUAAGUCUGAUGUGAAAGCCCGGAGCUCAACUCCGGAAUGGCAUUGGAAACUGGUUAACUUGAGUGUUGUAGAGGUAAGUGGAACUCCAUGUGUAGCGGUGGAAUGCGUAGAUAUAUGGAAGAACACCAGUGGCGAAGGCGGCUUACUGGACAACAACUGACGUUGAGGCUCGAAA